GUGGCGAACGGGUGAGUAACACGUGAGUAACCUGCCCCUGACUUCGGGAUAAGCCCGGGAAACUGGGUCUAAUACCGGAUACGACUGCCGGACGCAUGUCUGGUGGUGGAAAGUUUUUUCGGUUGGGGAUGGGCUCGCGGCCUAUCAGUUUGUUGGUGAGGUAAUGGCUCACCAAGACGACGACGGGUAGCCGGCCUGAGAGGGCGACCGGCCACACUGGGACUGAGACACGGCCCAGACUCCUACGGGAGGCAGCAGUGGGGAAUAUUGCACAAUGGGGGAAACCCUGAUGCAGCGACGCAGCGUGCGGGAUGACGGCCUUCGGGUUGUAAACCGCUUUCAGCAGGGAAGAAGCGCAAGUGACGGUACCUGCAGAAGAAGUACCGGCUAACUACGUGCCAGCAGCCGCGGUAAUACGUAGGGUACGGGCGUUGUCCGGAAUUAUUGGGCGUAAAGAGCUCGUAGGUGGUUGGUCACGUCUGCUGUGGAAACGCAACGCUUAACGUUGCGCGUGCAGUGGGUACGGGCUGACUAGAGUGCAGUAGGGGAGUCUGGAAUUCCUGGUGUAGCGGUGAAAUGCGCAGAUAUCAGGAGGAACACCGGUGGCGAAGGCGGGACUCUGGGCUGUAACUGACACUGAGGAGCGAAA
rnacentral:rRNA from 1 species